CAGAGAAUAGUUUAGUUUAGAAUCCUAGCUU
rnacentral:tRNA from 1 species